GAUGAACGCUGGCGGCGUGCCUAACACAUGCAAGUCGAGCGGAAGGACGAGGCGCUUGCUUCCUUGACGUUAGCGGCGGACGGGUGAGUAACACGUGGAUAACAUACCUAUAAGACUGGGGUAACCUCGGGAAACCGGAACUUAUACCGGCUGAUAUUUUGAACCGCAUGGUUCAAAAGUUAAAGACGGCCUUGCAGUCACUUAUCGCUGGAUCCGCGCUGUAUUAGCUAGUUGGUAAGGUAACGGCUUACCAAGGCGACGAUGCAUAGCCGACCUGAGAGGAUGAUCGGCCACACUGGAACUGAGACACGGUCCAGACUCCUACGGGAGGCAGCAGUAGGGAAUCUUCCGCAAUGGGCGAAAGCCUGACGGAGCAAUGCCGCGUGAGUGAUGAAGGUCUUCGGAUCGUAAAACUCUGUUAUCAGGGAGGAACAUAUUUGUGAGUAACUGUGCACAUCUUGACGGUACCUAAUCAGAAAGCAACGGCUAACUACGUG
rnacentral:rRNA from 1 species